AGCAUAUCAAUAAGCGGAGGAAAAGAAACCAACAGGGAUUGCCUUAGUAACUGCGAGUGAAGCGGCAAAAGCUCAAAUUUGAAAUCUGACGCCUUUGGGUGUUUGAGUUGUAAUUUGGAGGGGCAUCUUCGGGGCUGGUGUCAUUUUAAGUUCUUUGGAACAGGACGUCACAGAGGGUGAGAAUCCCGUGCCUGGAUGGCUGUCUGGCCCCAUGUGAAGUGUCUCCGACGAGUCGAGUUGUUUGGGAAUGCAGCUCAAAAUGGGUGGUAAAUUUCAUCUAAAGCUAAAUAUUGGCAAGAGACCGAUAGCGCACAAGUAGAGUGAUCGAAAGAUGAAAAGCACUUUGAAAAGAGAGUUAAAAAGUACGUGAAAUUGUUGAAAGGGAAGCGCUUGAGAUCAGACUCGACUGGUGGUGAUCAACCAUGCUUUUGUAUGAUGCACUGACUACCAGUUGGGCCAGCAUCAGUUCUGGUGGUGGGAUAAAAGGUGUGGGAACGUAGCUGUAUUCGUACAGUGUUAUAGCCUGCAUCACAAUGUCACUUGCUGGGACUGAGGACCGCACUUUCGGGUUAGGAUGCUGGCGUAAUGGUCUCAAUCGACCCGUCUUGAAACACGGACCAAGGAGUCUAACAUCUAUGCGAGUGUUCGGGUGGAAAACCCUUGCGCGUAAUGAAAGUGAACGGAGGUGGGAACCCCUCGGGGUGCACCAUCGACCGAUCCCGAUGUCUUCGGAAGGAUUUGAGUAAGAGCAUAGCUGUUGGGACCCGAAAGAUGGUGAACUAUGCCUGAAUAGGGUGAAGCCAGGGGAAACUCUGGUGGAGGCUCGCAGCGGUUCUGACGUGCAAAUCGAUCGUCAAAUUUGGGUAUAGGGGCGAAAGACUAAUCGAACCAUCUAGUAGCUGGUUCCUGC
rnacentral:rRNA from 1 species